rnacentral:rRNA from 1 species
AUUGAACGCUGGCGGCAGGCCUAACACAUGCAAGUCGAGCGGAUGAAGGGAGCUUGCUCCUGGAUUCAGCGGCGGACGGGUGAGUAAUGCCUAGGAAUCUGCCUGGUAGUGGGGGAUAACGUCCGGAAACGGGCGCUAAUACCGCAUACGUCCUUAUGGAGAAAGUGGGGGAUCUUCGGACCUCACGCUAUCAGAUGAGCCUAGGUCGGAUUAGCUAGUUGGUGGGGUAAAGGCCUACCAAGGCGACGAUCCGUAACUGGUCUGAGAGGAUGAUCAGUCACACUGGAACUGAGACACGGUCCAGACUCCUACGGGAGGCAGCAGUGGGGAAUAUUGGACAAUGGGCGAAAGCCUGAUCCAGCCAUGCCGCGUGUGUGAAGAAGGUCUUCGGAUUGUAAAGCACUUUAAGUUGGGAGGAAGGGCAGUAAGUUAAUACCUUGCUGUUUUGACGUUACCAACAGAAUAAGCACCGGCUAACUUCGUG